CAUAUGCUUGUUGAGGGCAAAUCAAAUGGACAUGAGUAUCAAAGCCACCAGCAGUGACUAUUUUACCCUCGCCGGCAAUCACGUCUGUGCAAGAGCCGACAAUCAUCUUGGGAUCCACACCCUCCAUGACAUCUGGAUUGCCUGCUUUUCCAAUACCCACAAUCAUGCCGUGCUUGAUACCAAUAUCUGCUUUGUAAAUACCAGUCCAGUCAAUGAUAAGGGCAUUGGUGAUGACGCUGUCGAGUGUUUCCUGAUCCGACCUGCCAGUGGCUUGACCCAUUCCCUCUCGCAACG
rnacentral:sRNA from 1 species